AUGAUUUCAAACAAGAAUCGAGAAUUCACGCUAAUAUUCCAGAGUUAUCCAAAAAUCAACAUAGCAUGUAUUCCAACUGUUCUAAACAGAUCCAAACAAUUAGAUCAAACGAAUAUUCAAAUGUUUCAAAUCAAAUACGAAAACAAAGGUCUAAGCUCAUGCCAUAAAUACGAAACUGAAUCGCGACAUAUAUUUGAAUAUCUUGAUCAAGUUCAAACAAUCAAAUAA